rnacentral:rRNA from 1 species
GAUGAACGCUGGCGGCGUGCCUAAUACAUGCAAGUCGAGCGAACGGACGAGAAGCUUGCUUUUCUGAUGUUAGCGGCGGACGGGUGAGUAACACGUGGAUAACCUACCUAUAAGACUGGGAUAACUUCGGGAAACCGGAGCUAAUACCGGAUAAUAUUUUGAACCGCAUGGUUCAAAAGUGAAAGACGGUCUUGCUGUCACUUAUAGAUGGAUCCGCGCUGCAUUAGCUAGUUGGUAAGGUAACGGCUUACCAAGGCAACGAUGCAUAGCCGACCUGAGAGGGUGAUCGGCCACACUGGAACUGAGACACGGUCCAGACUCCUACGGGAGGCAGCAGUAGGGAAUCUUCCGCAAUGGGCGAAAGCCUGACGGAGCAACGCCGCGUGAGUGAUGAAGGUCUUCGGAUCGUAAAACUCUGUUAUUAGGGAAGAACAUAUGUGCAAGUAACUGUGCACAUCUUGACGGUACCUAAUCAGAAAGCCACGGCUAACUACGUG